rnacentral:lncRNA from 1 species
UUUAAUUCUCAGCAACCACAUGGUGGCUUAUAACCAUCUGUAAUGAGAUCUGAUGUCCUCUUCUGGUGUGUCUGAAGACAGCUACAGUGUACUCGUAUAAAUAAAAAUAAAUUAAAAAAAAAAGGGAGGAAGGGAAGAAAAAAAGGAAAAAAAAUCUCCCCUGUUUUAUGAUAUCCCAAAUUAGCACUCAUGUCUUAUCUUAAUCUGUUUUACUAAAAUGUCUGAUUUGGGCAUUUUUUUCAAAUGUGUGAUGUUUUUAUUAAAUUAAUCUAUUCAUAUUGUGAAUUGUAUAUGAUGUUUUGUUAUGUUUCAUUUUAAAAAGGAACCUACGCACUGUGAGGCCAACCCUGACCUGAUCUUUGAAGACAUGGAAGUUAUGACAGAUUUUGAACUACAUGUACUUUGUAAACAGUAUCAACACAUUAAUAGUUACCAGUUAGACAUGGAUUUAAUUUUAGAUUCUGGGAAAUUCCGAGCCUUAGGAUGCAUCUUGUCUGAGUUGAAACAGAAGGUAUUAAACAGAAUGACUGACUGUCUCUCUCUAUUUGCCUUGUUGGUUGAACUUAUGAAACAGGAGUGUUAGAAAAGAUGACGCUGGCUUGAUUGUUUGUUAUACUUUUUAAAGUUAAGUUUAUGUUCUUCCAGAACCUAGUGUCUUAAAGUUGCCUCAUAUAUUUUUUCUGUUUAUUUUUCUUUUUAUAGAACUUAAGAAAAUAAUAAGUUAGAUUAGAUCACAUCUGUGUUGAUUUUUUUUUUUAAUUUUAAUUAUUAUUUCAGAGGUGACCUAUUUCUUCAAAGGACUCUGCAAUUUGUAUGAAGUUGCUUAACUUUUCAGUAUUUAGGUGCAAGUAGUGAUUAUGUACUUGGUCUUAAUAAAUGAUCCUUUUUUAAUACGAAAAGGAAGUAGUAAUGAUCCACUUCUUUAACUUAAAAUCAGAAUUAAACUACUACUUAAGUUCAGAAGUUAAGGAAAUCUAUUCAUAUAAUAGAAAAAAUAAAUUUAUUCUUGGUAUCGUUACUUGAUUUUUUUUUUUACUUGAAAAAACUAGCGCAAUUGAACAUUAUGUAAUUUUAUCAUGAAGUUUAUGGAGAGUUGGCAGAUGUCUCUUUAAAGCAUUCUUUAUUUUGUAGGCCUCAAACUUUGGGUAAGGGUAAUGAUUUCACUUUCCUGUUUCUAAUUCAUACAUAUCUUCCCACAGGGUGAUAGAGUUGUAUUAUUCAGCCAGUUUACCAUGAUGCUGGAUAUACUAGAGGUUCUCUUAAAGCAUCAUCAACAUAGGUACCUCCGAUUAGAUGGAAAGACUCAGAUUUCUGAAAGGUUGGUAUUAGCUGCCAAGUAUCAUUUGCUUAUUCAUUAAUUAGCAUUUUAAAUAUAAGGAGUAUUUUUUAGAAAAUUCUUGUUUAAAGUGUUAGGUUCUGCUAUUUCAAAUAUUCAGUAUUCAAAUUAUUCAACUAUUACUGCUGGAUUGUUAUUUUGUUGUUGUUGUUUUUCAAGACAGGGUUUCUCUGUGUAGCCUUGGCUGUCCUGGAACUCACUCUGUAGGCCAGGUUGGCCUCCAACUCAGAAAUCCACCUGCCUCUGCCUCCCGAAUGCUGGGAUUAAAGGCGUAUGCUACCACGCCCGGCUUGAAUUGUUAUUCUUUUAAUUUUUUCCCCCAAUAAGUGUAUUCUGAAAAAUUAUGAAAAUUGUAUGCUUUUAAUAAUUUUUCUCUUGUAUUUUAUGUUAUUUUUAUUUUUGCACUUUAGGGAUCAUACCCAUAGUUUUUUACAUGCUAGGCAAGCACUCUAGAACUAAACCACAUCCCAGUCCUAAAUUUUUUUCCCCUGUAAAAAAUAUUCAAGGGGGGCUUCAUCUAGCAGCUGAUUGAAACAGAUGCAGAGACCCAAAGCCAGACAGUAGGCAGCGGUCAGGGAAUCCUUCUGAAGAGGGGAGGAUUGCUUAUAGAAGCCAGAGGGGUCAAGGAUACCACAAGAAAAACCUCAGAAUCAACUAACCUGGGCCUAUAGGGAACCACAGAGAUUGAAUCCACAACCAGGGAUCCCAUGUAGACCUGACCCAGGUUGUCUGUAUAUAUGUUAUAGUUGAGUAGCUUGGUGUUGUUAUGAAGCUCCUAACAGUGGAGUUCAGACUCUCUCUCUCUGACUCUUUUGCCCACUUCUAGGACACUUUUCCUCAUAUUGGAUUGUUUCAUCUAGCCUUAAUACAAGGGGCAGUGCCCAGUCUUACUGCUCAAUAAGCCAUGUUUGCUUGAUAACCAUGGCAGGCCUGCCCUUUCUAAAGAGAAAUGGAGGAAGAGUGAAGGGGGAGAGAGGAAUGGAAGGUAGGAGAUACUCUGAGCAGGAUAUAAAAAAAUAAUAAAACCAUUCAAGGUUUGAGGCAUCCACUGUUUAAUCAAGAUUGUUUUAAAGUCAGAUUUUUCAUAUUUUGAAGGUUAAUGAAAAAAGUUAUCAGUUAGGAGGAGGACCUAAUAUUUGAGACCAACCUAGGCUACUUAGUGAGACAUCCCCCAAACCCCUCCCCACUCC